rnacentral:rRNA from 1 species
UGCCAGCCGCCGCGGUAAUACAGAGGGGGUUAGCGUUGUUCGGAAUUACUGGGCGUAAAGCGCACGUAGGCGGAUUAGAAAGUUAGAGGUGAAAUCCCAGGGCUCAACCCUGGAACUGCCUUUAAUACUGCUAGUCUUGAGUUUGGUAGAGGAGAGUGGAAUUCCUAGUGUAGAGGUGAAAUUCGUAGAUAUUAGGAGGAACACCAGUGGCGAAGGCGACUCUCUGGGCCAAUACUGACGCUGAGGUUCGAAAGCGUGGGGAGCGAACGGGAUUAGAUA